rnacentral:rRNA from 1 species
UACGGGGGGGGCAAGCGUUGUUCGGAAUUACUGGGCGUAAAGGGCUCGUAGGCGGCCAACUAAGUCAGACGUGAAAUCCCUCGGCUUAACCGGGGAACUGCGUCUGAUACUGGAUGGCUUGAGUUUGGGAGAGGGAUGCGGAAUUCCAGGUGUAGCGGUGAAAUGCGUAGAUAUCGGGAGGAACACCAGUAGCGAAGGCGGCACUCUGGGCCGGAACUGACGCUGAGGAGCGAAAGCGUGGGUAGCAAACAGG